AUACGUAGGGUGCAAGCGUUAAUCGGAAUUACUGGGCGUAAAGCGUGCGCAGGCGGUUUUGUAAGACAGUGGUGAAAUCCCCGGGCUCAACCUGGGAACUGCCAUUGUGACUGCAAGGCUGGAGUGCGGCAGAGGGGAUGGAAUUCCGCGUGUAGCAGUGAAAUGCGUAGAUAUGCGGAGGAACACCGAUGGCGAAGGCAAUCCCCUGGGCCUGCACUGACGCUCAUGCACGAAAGCGUGGGGAGCAAACAGGAUUAGAUACCCUGGUAGUCCACGCCCUAAACGAUGUCAACUGGUUGUUGGGGAUUUAUUUUCUCAGUAACGAAGCUAACGCGUGAAGUUGACCGCCUGGGGAGUACGGCCGCAAGGUUAAAACUCAAAUGAAUUGGCGGGG
rnacentral:rRNA from 1 species